CCUUCGAUAGCUCAGUUGGUAGAGCGGUGGACUGUAGUAGGGAAGAUCCGAUACGGACAUCCAUAGGUCGCUGGUUCGAAUCCGGCUCGAAGGA
rnacentral:tRNA from 1 species